rnacentral:rRNA from 1 species
GAUGAACGCUGGCGGCGUGCUUAACACAUGCAAGUCGAACGGAAAGGCUCCUGCUUGCAGGGGUACUCGAGUGGCGAACGGGUGAGUAACACGUGGGUGAUCUGCCCUGCACUUCGGGAUAAGCCUGGGAAACUGGGUCUAAUACCGGAUAGGACCACAUUUUGGAUGGUGUGGUGGAAAGGUUUUCGGUGUGGGAUGAGCUCGCGGCCUAUCAGCUUGUUGGUGGGGUAAUGGCCUACCAAGGCGUCGACGGGUAGCCGGCCUGAGAGGGUGUACGGCCACAUUGGGACUGAGAUACGGCCCAGACUCCUACGGGAGGCAGCAGUGGGGAAUAUUGCACAAUGGGCGCAAGCCUGAUGCAGCGACGCCGCGUGGGGGAUGACGGCCUUCGGGUUGUAAACUCCUUUCGCUAGGGACGAAGCGCAAGUGACGGUACCUGGAGAAGAAGCACCGGCCAACUACGUG